GGCACUGACGCCCGGCCUCGCUCGGGAGAAAACUGUCCCUCAGCCCUCGGAGGCCGCGGAAAGCGCUCCAGGGGCCCCAUGACGCCACUCCCACCGACUGUCUCCCUAGAAAGAUGGAAGGAGGCGGAAACCGAAACCGGUAGCACCUUUACCACUCACGUCUCAAGCAAUACCACGACUUUGUCCUGCUGCCUCUGAGCCACUACUACAGCCCUGCCAAGGUAGUGUUCUUCCUUACUAUGGGCAGAUCUACAGCCUCCGGGUAACUGGGGUGUGGACUCUGGGAAGGAGAAGCAGGAGGCAGCCGAGGAGCAGGUGCCCAAGCAGCAGCUGCUGCUUUCACCUUUGCCCUGAGCUCCGGUGCUGCCCAGCCCUGCCCGGCAGUAAUGACUCUGGCCUUUGGACUCUCAACUGCACUGAAAAAGAAGAAAGGAAGGGAGAGGGAUAGAGAGUUAGAAGCAUCGAUCAGCUGCCUCCUGCACACUCCCCAC